AUUGAACGCUGGCGGCAGGCCUAACACAUGCAAGUCGAACGAGUGGCGGACGGGUGAGUAAUGUCUGGGAAACUGCCUGAUGGAGGGGGAUAACUACUGGAAACGGUAGCUAAUACCGCAUACCAUCAGAUGUGCCCAGAUGGGAUGAGCUAGUUGGUGGGGUAACGGCUCCACAAGGCGAAGCUCCCUAGCUGGUCUGAGAGGAUGACCACCCAAACUGGAACUGAGCCACGGUCCAGACUCCUCCGGGAGGCAGCAGUGGGGAAUAUUGCACAAUGGGCGCAAGCCGGAUGCAGCCAUGCCGCGUGUAUGAAGAAGGCCUUCGGGUUGUAAAGUACCUUCAGCGGGGAGGCGUUACCCGCAGAAGAAGCACCGGCUAACUCCGUGCCAGCAGCCGCGGUAAUUC
rnacentral:rRNA from 1 species